GUAUUUGUUAAGUUCUUGAAACCCAAAGGAUUUGGCGGUAUUUUAGUCCUUUCAGAGGAACCUGUCCCUUAAUCGACAAUCCACGAUUUAAUUUACUUAUUUUUGUAUACCAGUUUGUAUACCUCCGUCAUAAGGAUGUCUUUUUAGAGUUAAUUUCCUUUUCUAUUAAAUAUAGAUAUGUCAGGUCAAGGUGCAGCUUAUAUUUAAGUGGAGAUGGGUUACAAUAGGUUUAAUACUUAAACGGAUUUAUUUUUUUGAUGUAUAAUGAAGGCGGAUUUGAAAGUAAAAUUAUUUAUUAAGUUUUUUGGAUUUGGCUCUAAAAUAUGCACACA
rnacentral:rRNA from 1 species